rnacentral:rRNA from 1 species
GAAACUGCGAAUGGCUCAUUAAAUCAGUUAUGGUUUAUUUGAUGGUACCUUACUACUUGGAUAACCGUAGUAAUUCUAGAGCUAAUACAUGCAGGAAGUCCCGACUUCGGAAGGGAUGUAUUUAUUAGAUAAGAAACCAACCGGCUUGCCGGUUGCGUGCUGAGUCACAAUAACUGCUCGAAUCGCAUGGCCUUGCGCCGGCGAUGGUUCAUUCAAAUUUCUGCCCUAUCAGCUUUCGAUGGUAGGAUCGAGGCCUACCAUGGCGUUAACGGGUAACGGAGAAUUAGGGUUCGAUUCCGGAGAGGGAGCCUGAGAAAUGGCUACCACAUCCAAGGAAGGCAGCAGGCGCGUAAAUUGCCCGAAUCCUGACACAGGGAGGUAGUGACAAGAAAUAACAAUACAGGGCUAUUUUAGUCUUGUAAUUGGAAUGAGUACAAUUUACAUCUCUUCACGAGGAUCAAUUGGAGGGCAAGUCUGGUGCCAGGAGCCGCGGUAAUUCCAGCUCCAAUAGCGUAUAUUAAAGUUGUUGCAGUUAAAACGCUCGUAGUCGGAUUUCGGGGCGGGGCCGCCGGUCUGCCGAUGGGUAUGCACUGGCGGGCGCGUCCUUCCUUCCGGAGACUGGCCCUACUCUUAACUGAGCGGGGUCGGGAAUCGGAUCGUUUACUUUGAAAAAAUCAGAGUGUUUCAAGCAGGCAGCUCGCUCUUGCAUGGAUUAGCAUGGGAUAAUGAAAUAGGACUUUGGUGCUAUUUUGUUGGUUUCGAACACCGAAGUAAUGAUUAACAGGGACAGUCAGGGGCACUCGUAUUCCGCAGAGAGAGGUGAAAUUCUCAGACCCGCGGAAGACGAACCACUGCGAAAGCAUUUGCCAGGGAUGUUUUCACUGAUCAAGAACGAAAGUUAGGGGAUCGAAGACGAUCAGAUACCGUCGUA